ensembl:snRNA U1 U1 spliceosomal RNA
AUACUUACCUGGCAGGGGUGAUACCAUGAUCACGAAGGUGGUUCACCCAGGGCGAGGCUCUGCCAUUGCACUUGGGUGGUGCUGACCCUUGCGAAUUCCCCAAAUGUUGGAAUCUCGACUGCAUAAUUUCUGGUAGUGGGGGACUGCGCUCGCGCUCUCCCCUG